UUUUGAGGUAGUGUCUCUCCUUGAACAGGAAGGUCAUUGAUUUAGUUAGGCUGGCUAGCCUCUCAGUUGGCACUUCUCUCCCUGCAAGCUCUGGUGUUACAGAUGAGUGUGAACUCUCUUGGCAUCGGACCUCUGGAACUGAACUCAGGUCCUUAGACAUGGGUGGCAGGCACUUUACCAAUAGAGCUAUCUUCCCAUUCUUACAUACAUGUGAAAAAUGUACUAAAGGCAUUGCAGGAAUGCCUCAGUUGGUAAAGUACCUUGCAAGCUUGAGGACCCGAGUUCAUCUCUCCCUAGAACCCAUGCAAAUGGCUGGGCACACAUGUAAUCGAAAUGUUGUGGAGACAGAUUCUACUUGGCAAAGCUCCAGGUCAUAAGAGCCAGCCUGAAAGAGGAAGGAGGCAGCUGAGGACUGACAAUGAAGGCUGACCUCCACAAGCUCAUGAUAUCAUAAUUAAGUAGAGUUCUGCAUUCUGUGUGUGUGUGUGUGUGCGCGCGUGUGCGUGUCCGCGCACACGUGCAUGUAUAUGUGUGCUUGUACAAUCUCUAGAUUCCACAUUCAAUUGCAGUGUCUAGUUAAGCCGCUACUUAACCAUGAACACUACCAUUGUUUUUCAGUGGCUAAUAAAGGGGUAUAGAGGAUAUAGUUCUAAGGUAACUAAAAAAAUUACUGAGUCAUAUUUUAAAGAGACUGGAUAUGUUUUAAUAUGUGAUGUGUACUUGUGUCAAAAUCAAGCCAUAUGUUGUUCCUAGUAGCAUACAUUGCUUGUACAUUUUGAUUUCUCUUUCCUUUUGCUUUCAGCUAUACUUGAGGCAACCACAGCUUUUUGGUUUUUUUAUUAUAGAGCAUGGUGUGAUUUGGUUUUUGAGACAGGAUCUAGCCUGAAGAGAUGGAGCCAGAGUGGUCCUCCUGCCUGAAAACUUGAGUGUGCUGGGAUUUCAGGAGUGUGCCACUUUACCCAGAUACGUAUAGAAAUUUUCACCUGUGUAUUCUUAGCUUCCUUUUGUCCCUCUUUCAUUUAUCUCUUUUCCAGUUUGCAUAACCUGUAUACAUAUUGUAACAUAUUGAUGUUCUUCUUGAACUUCACUAGUAUAACUUGUUCUUUAAGCCCUUUGACAUCAUAGUUUUGGUGGGAGUGUGUGCCUGAGCUUGUGGAGGGCAGAGACAGCCUCCAUUGUCAGUCCUCACUGCUUUCUCCCUCCUUGUGUGAGACAGUCUCUCUUAUGACCUGGAGCUUUGCAAGUAGAGUCUGUGUCUGCAGCCUUGGGAUUACACGUGUGCCUGCCCAGCCUUUUGCAUGGGUUCUGGGGAGAUGAACUUGCGUCCUUGUGCUUGCAGGGUGCUUUACCAACUGAGGCAUUUUUGCAAUCCCCUUUAGUAUAUUUUUGAUAUUUUGGCCUAAGAGCCAACUUGAGCUUGGUUGUGCCUUCUGUUUCAGAGCAGUAAUUUUAAAAAUCCAUUUUUUUUGUGGACAGAACUAGUUAUCUUUCCUUUAGAGUUUCUGGAUUUCUCUUAAGGCAACCCUGGGCUGGAGCAGAGGUGUGGUUUAGUUUUUGAGACCAGAUCUAACCUGACUCAAAACAGGGUAAAUGUGGUUGCCACUAAGCAUGCCAAUCUGAGUUGAGUUUCCAGGACCCACACAGUGGGAGAGAACCAACUUUCCCAACUCUGACCUCUGCACAGGCACCGUGGCAAUGCACAUACCCAUGCACCCACACAUAAAUACAUUUUUAAAAGAGCAAUCCCAUCCCAAGAGUAUACAAAUAAAAUACCUAUAAAGUUGGUCCUAUUAUUUCAUAAUUGUUGACUGGCUUUUGUGUCGAUUUCACAGUAUGUAAUAAUGUACCUGAAAUUUGUGUUGUUUUUAUAUUUUCUUCCAAGCUAGUCACAAACAUACCAUAAAAUAUAUUACCUUGAAAUGCCAU
rnacentral:lncRNA from 1 species